AGGGUUUGAUCCUGGCUCAGGACGAACGCUGGCGGCGCGCCUAACACAUGCAAGUCGAACGAGAAUCAGCUGAUGAAGUUUUCGAAUGGAUUCGGUUGAGGAAAGUGGCGAACGGGCGAGUAACGCGUGAGCAACCUACCUUGUACUGGGGGAUAACGUCGGGAAACCGGCGCUAAUACCGCAUAACAUUACGAUAGCGCAUGUUAUUGUAAUCAAAGCUUUAGUGGUACGAGACGGGCUCGCGUCCAAUUAGCUAGUUGGUGAGGUAAAGGCUCACCAAGGCGACGAUUGGUAGCCGAACUGAGAGGUUGAUCGGCCGCAUUGGGACUGAGACACGGCCCAGACUCCUACGGGAGGCAGCAGUGGGGAAUAUUGCGCAAUGGGGGAAACCCUGACGCAGCGACGCCGCGUGAAGGAAGAAGGCCUUCGGGUUGUAAACUUCUUUGAUCGGGGACGAAGAUGACGGUACCCGAGGAACAAGCCACGGCUAACUACGUGCCAGCAGCCGCGGUAAUACGUAGGUGGCAAGCGUUGUCCGGAAUUACUGGGCGUAAAGGGCGUGUAGGCGGGGGGACAAGUCAGAUGUGAAAUACCGCGGCUUAACUGCGGGGGUGCAUCUGAAACUGUUCUUCUUGAGUGUCGGAGAGGAAAGUGGAAUUCCCAGUGUAGCGGUGAAAUGCGUAGAGAUUGGGAGGAACACCAGUGGCGAAGGCGGCUUUCUGGACGAUAACUGACGCUGAGGCGCGAAAGCGUGGGGAGCAAACAGGAUUAGAUACCCUGGUAGUCCACGCUGUAAACGAUGGAUACUAGGUGUAGGAGGUAUCGACCCCUUCUGUGCCGGAGUUAACACAAUAAGUAUCCCGCCUGGGGAGUACGGCCGCAAGGCUGAAACUCAAAGGAAUUGACGGGGGCCCGCACAAGCAGUGGAGUAUGUGGUUUAAUUCGAAGCAACGCGAAGAACCUUACCAGGGCUUGACAUCCCUCUGACUGGCAUAGAGAUAUGCCUUCCCUUCGGGGCAGAGGAGACAGGUGGUGCAUGGUUGUCGUCAGCUCGUGUCGUGAGAUGUUGGGU
rnacentral:rRNA from 1 species